rnacentral:rRNA from 1 species
CAAUAGCGUAUAUUAAAGUUGUUGCGGUUAAAAAGCUCGUAGUUGGAUCUGCGCCUUCGGACUCGGUCCGCCCAACGGGUGUGAACUGGGAUCCAAGGCUUAUACUGCUGGUUUUCCCUUGAUGCUCUUUACUGGGUGUCUUGGGUGGCUAGCGAGUUUACUUUGAAAAAAUUAGAGUGCUUAACACAGGCUAACGCCUGAAUACUUGUGCAUGGAAUAAUAGAAUAAGACCACGGUUCUAUUUUAUUGGUUUUCGGAACUGUGAUAAUGGUUAAGAGGGACAGACGGGGGCAUUCGUAUCGCUGCGUGAGAGGUGAAAUUCUUGGACCGCAGCGAGACGCCCUACUGCGAAAGCAUUUGCCAAGAAUGUCUUCGUUAA